rnacentral:rRNA from 1 species
GAUGAACGCUGGCGGUGUGCCUAAUACAUGCAAGUCGAGCGACCAGAUGAGGAGCUUGCUCCUCUGACGUUAGCGGCGGACGGGUGAGUAACACGUGGAUAACCUUCUUAUUUGACUGGGAUAACUUCGGGAAACCGGAGCUAAUAAUGGCUAAUAUAUUGUACGGCUUGGUUCAAUAGUUAAAGACGGUUUUGCCGUUACUUUUAGCCGGAUUCGCGUCGCAUUAGUUAGUUGGUAAGGUAACGGCUUACCAAGGCAACGAUGCGUAGCCGACCUGAGAGGGUGAUCAGCCACACUGGAACUGAGACACGGUCCAGACUCCUACGGGAGGCAGCAGUGGGGAAUCUUCCGCAAUGGGCGAAAGCCUGACGCAGCAACGCCGCGUGAGUGAUGAAGGUCUUCGGAUCGUAAAGCUCUGUUAUUGGGGAAGAACAAAUGUGUGUGUAUCUAUCCACGUCUUGACGGUACCUAAUCAGUAAGCCACGGCUAACUACGUG